AUUGAACGCUGGCGGCAGGCCUAACACCUGCAAGUCGAGCGAGCGGCGGACGGGUUAGUAAUGUAUGGGGAUCUGCCCGAUAGAGGGGGAUCACUACUGGAAACGGUGGCUAAUACCGCAUACUAUCGGAUGUACCCACAUGGGAUUAGCUAGUAGGUGGGGUAAAGGCUAACCUAGGCGACGAUCUCUAGCUGGUCUGAGAGGAUUACCAGCCACACUGGGACUGAGAAACGGCCCAGACUCCUACGGGAGGCAGCAGUGGGGAAUAUUGCACAAUGGGCGCAAGCCUGAUGCAGCCAUGCCGCGUGUAUGAAGAAGGCCUUAGGGUUGUAAAGUACUUUCAGCGGGGAGGCGUUACCCGCAGAAGAAGCAACGGCUAACUCCGUGCCAGCAGCCGCGGUAAUUC
rnacentral:rRNA from 1 species